rnacentral:rRNA from 1 species
UACGGAGGGUGCGAGCGUUGUCCGGAAUCAUUGGGCGUAAAGGGCGCGUAGGUGGCCCGGUCAGUCUGUGGUGAAAGCGCGGGGCUCAACCCCGCGUCGGCCAUGGAUACUGCUGGGCUGGAGCACUGUAGAGGCAGGCGGAAUUCCGGGUGUAGCGGUGGAAUGCGUAGAGAUCCGGAAGAACACCGGUGGCGAAGGCGGAUCUCUGGGCCAUAACUGACGCUGAGGAGCGAAAGCAUGGGGAGCGAACAGG